CAUAUACUCCCUCCGUCCGGAAAUACUUGUCAUCAAUAUGAAUAAAAGAGGAUGUAUCUAGAUGUAUUUUAGUUUUAGAUACAUCCCUUUUUGUCUAUUUUGAUGACAAGUAUUUUCGGACGGAGGGAGUAGUAU
rnacentral:pre_miRNA from 1 species